ensembl:snRNA U1 U1 spliceosomal RNA
AUACUUACCUGGCAUGGGAGAUAUUAUGAUCAUGAAGUUGGUUUUCCCAGGGCGAGGCUUAUCCAUUGCACUCUGUAUGUGCUGAUCCUUGCGAUCUCCCCAAACAUGGGAAACUCAAUUGCAUAAUGUGUGGUAGUGGGGGACUGCGUUUGAGCUCUCCUCUG